GCCCGACUGGCACAAUCGGUAGCGCGUGAAACUCUUAAUCUCAAAUUGAGGGUUCGAUUAGUACACCCACAGCUCAGGC